UGUAAAUUGAAAUCAAUCCCGCUUUCAUUUUCGCCACUCCCUCCAACAACAAGACCUAGUACAAUAUACCUGGAUCUAAAAACAAUCUCUCGUUCUCCCUCACCAGUCACCACGCAACACCCCGUCAUUCCCUUCACUGCACCAACCGUGGUUCUCAGCAGCAUCGCCACCCGCUCUUCCCCCUCAGCACGCCGUGAAUCCACGAAUCCGAACCUUGGUUGCCAUCGUCGUUUGUCGUUGCAGGUUCACACGCAGGAGACGAGGCUCUCGUUGUGGGUUCCCGUGAUAACUGUCACUGGUUAGCGUGAACAUCCAUGGUUUCUCGUACGGGCGCUCUCCGUCCGCUUCUUCACUGGCGGCUCGGUGCCCCUCCGCAUCUUCCGCUCUCAUAUCCUUUCUUGUUUCCUUGAACUUAUUCACUGCCUAGUCAGAAACUCAUGUCUUCCGGCGAAGACAACAUGGCGGCGAUAGAGUGGAAGUGAUAGCAACAGAGAUCAGAACAUACCUGAGGCCCAAGCUAUGGAUGAAGACAGACCCGAGACCCACGAUGGAAGGCCCAAGAGAAGUACCAAGCGACCUGCGUAUCUGGACAAUUACGCAUAACAGUUAUUGGGGAAGAAUUAAGGGAGUUAUUUACAAUUGUUUUUCCGUUUCAGAAUUCUGUUAGAAAAGCUGCUAGGAACCCGUUAUUGCAAUCAUGCUUUGUAAAUUUUAUUACACAGAAUCACCCCACGAAAUGUAUUUACAUAAGAUUGCAAUGAAUUAAAUGGUAAGAAGAAUUCCAGCUCAUCACCUUUAGUGUAGAACGGAGGUUCCCUUGCCCUCAAAAUGAAGGACCAUUGUCCUCUGCUUGUAUCAGGAAGCCAUCAGAGCUGAAACCCAAUGUUUCGUUGUCUGGCGUUAAGGUCGUGACUGAUUCGGUAGUGGUCUCUGAUGAUGGUGAUAUCCCUUAAAUUUUGACUAUAUAUAUAUAUAUAUUUUUUUUUUUUCUUUUACUUUUGGUACUUCCUUAAUAUACUAAUGUGAGGAUGAAAAUCUAUAAGACUGUAUAAUUGUAAAGUUCUGUGACUUCUAUCCCCUUCUAUUUAUGUUUUGUAUGGUAGUGAUACACUAGGGUGAAUUGUUUAAUGUGGUUGUUUUAAUCAUCUAUUAUUUUUGAAUUGGGAGACGAUUUGUUUGAUUUUGUUUGUAUUUGCUUCAAUUCUGGUUUGCCUUCUUUCCUUCAGGAAGAAAAAAUGUUAGGUGAUGAAGAAAUUUGUUGGUGGCUGGUGUGAUUAUAGAUGCUUUAAUUUUUAAAUAUGAGAGUGGAGCCAUGUCUGAUUGGCUCUGUCUGAUUUCUUGGAACAAAAUUCGUUGAUAGUGAUAGUGAUGUCCUAGGAAGCAUGGUUGAAUUGGACAAUUGAAGCUAGUUUGCUGAGACUGUAAAAAUAAUUUGCUUUUGAACAGUCACCUAAUUAAUCAUGUUUUUGAUAAGUCAUUUGGUUUUGACAUUGCUGUUGAAGAGGCACAAGGAGCCAUAAACUUUGCUCAUGUGGAAGCAGAAAGCACUGAGAAUGGUAUCGAUAUUGUCAAGCUUAUGGGUCGUUACAGUGGUGUUGGUUUUGUGACAUAUGUUUGGUAGUGAAAUUUAAAUAUUUGCAUGGAAGCCAAAGAAUGUAUUAGAUCCGGGAAUACAAUGAUAGAGGCAGAAUCCCCAUCAUUUUAGCAGGUGGCAAUGAGGAGUAAAGCUCUAAACCUGGUUCAUGUCCUUGAUAGUGCUGCUGCUGCUACUACAACUGCACCUGUUGUUGUCUCACCUAUGAGACUUUGGAUUCAUGUCCUUCAUGUCCUUCUCUAACAAUACAAAUUUAAGUUGUACGAGGGAAGAGGCUCUGAAUUUCGGUGCCUUGAGCGAUUCUGAUGGAGGGAAGCAGUUACUUGAUAACAUAUUGUGCAUUAAUAUAAGUGGAUUGACUGGACCUAUUCAAUUUGGUUUAGAUAGAUCUCCUCUAAAUCCAUCAUAUGACAUUCUUAAUGUAAUUGGUACAGGUUAUAGGAGAAUCGGCUACUGGUCUAGUUACUCUGACCUUUCUCUAAUAACCCCUGAGAAACUUCAUGCAGAGCCUGCCAAUCGUUCAAUUUGAAGCCAACAUCUAAACUGUGUCAUAUGGCCAGGAAAUACAACAGAAAAGCCUCGUGGAUGGGUUUUCCCAAAUAAUGGGAGGUAACUGAGAAUUGGAAUUCCCAACAGAGUUAGCUAUUAAGAUAUGAUCUCCCAAAUAAAUGGCACCAAUGCAAUUCGAGGAUAUUGCAUAGAUAUAUUCCUAGCUGCCUUUAAAUUGCUUCCCUAUGCAGUUCAAUACAAGUUCAUUCUGUUUGGAGAUGGACACAAGAACCCAAGCUACUGUGAUCUUGUCAAAAUGAUUACUUCUGAUGUUUUUGAUGCUGCCAUAGGUGACAUUGCGAUUGUCUCUGUCCGAACAAAGAUUGUGGAUUUUACUCGACCAUACAUAGAGUCGGGGCUAGUUGUGGUUGCUACAGUAAAAAAAAUUGAAGUCAAAUGCUUGGGCUUUCUUGCGACCAUUUACUCCACAUAUGUGGGGUGUCACUGCAUUUUUUUUCCUCUUUGUUGGAGCAGUGGUGUGGAUUCUUGAACAUAGAACAAACGAUGAGUUUUGAGGGUCACCGAGGGAACAUAUAGAUACAGUUCUUUGGUUUAGUUUGUCAACCAUGUUCUUUGCGCACACACACAAGUAGAGAGAGACACAUAACAUUUGGCAUUGUGGAAUCUGAAGUGAAAGGAAAAGAAAAAAAGAUCUUUGCAUCAAACCCUAAUCCUAAAAAUGUGUACCUCAUCGGAGGUUUGCAAGUGGAGUUUCCCUACCAACCAUAUGGAUCUCAGUUUGCGUUUAUGGCUAGAGUGAUUUCCACCCUUAAUCUAGUUCAGAAAGAAGGCCAUUGUCACGCGUUGCUUAAGUCUCCAAGCGGUACUGGUAAGUCCCUUUCGCUUCUUUGUUCCUCUCUCGCUUGGCAGCACCACUUAAAUCUCAACAUGACCAUCUCAAGCCCGCGUCGGAGGCAACCACCGAUCCUCUGGCUCUGGUGGCGGAUUUGUUCCCGAGGAGUUUCAGAAAUUCCCGACCAUACGUAAAUUGAGAUCAACAACAAGAAGCAGAAGAAAAAGGAAGCACCAACCAUAUAUUAUGCCUCGAGAACGCACUCACAAAUUUCUCAAGUGGUUCGUGAAUUGCGGAAAACUGCAUACAGGGUGCCUAUGGCUGUGUUGGCAUGGCGGAAACACUGCUGCACAACUAAAAAUAUAAUUGGCAAAGAGAACAUCUAUGAUGAAUGUAAACUAUUAUUGAAAGAUCAGGCAACAGGGUGUCCAUAAUUCAAAAAUGCUCAUAAAGUCAAAGGUCAUCCUUCCCUUCAGAAAGGAGGAUGCAAUGUGGUGCAUGACAUAGAAGAUCUUGUAAAAGUUGGACAAUUGGUAAAAGGUUGCUGUUCGUGCUCGUUCUAUGUCAAAUGAUGCUCAAUUGGUAUUUUGUCCAUAUAACUACAUCAAUAAUCCAGUCAUUUGGGCACCAAUGGAAGUGGAUAUUAAAGUAGGCAUAGUUAUUUUCGACGAAGCUCAAUAAUAUAUGGAUUCCGGAUGUCUUUCACAAACCAUCAGUUGCAUGCUAUCCAAUGUUGCAGCAAUAUGGAGGACAUUACUCGUGAUGCUAGCAGUGUGGAUAAUGAAGAAGAUGUUUUGGAUAGGCCUUACUAGUCGGAUGGAACAGAAGAAAAACAAGCUAGAAAAACGUGAUUUUCAGCACUGUGUCAAGGAGUUAAGGAUUUUGUCAUUCUUUAUGCCUUUUUCAACUAUUAAUUUGUGAAUGCAUUUUUCAUUUUGUAAUUUGGCUGUUUCAGUUCAACAAUUUUAUAGUAUUUAAGAUUAGGGUUUAGGGUUGAGGGUUGAGGGUUGAGGGUUCAGGGGUUCAGGGUUCAGUGUUCAGGGUUCAGGGUUCAGGGUUCAAGGUUCAGGAUUCAGGGUUUAAGGUUUAGGGUUUACCGUUUCGCGCUUCCACUCUGGUGAUUGCAGCUCUGCCUCUUUCCUCCCACAACACUUCCUUCUUGUCUCGUCCUUUACAUGAUUGUCUCCUAAUACGUCCUAACUAAAUUUGAAAAUUAAGUAAAUAUUUUCCUUUUUAAACUC